rnacentral:rRNA from 1 species
CCUACGGGUGACAGCAGUGAGGAAUAUUGGUCAAUGGACGAGAGUCUGAACCAGCCAAGUAGCGUGAAGGAUGACUGCCCUAUGGGUUGUAAACUUCUUUUAUAUGGGAAUAAAACGUUCCACGUGUGGGAUUUUGUAUGUACCAUAUGAAUAAGGAUCGGCUAACUCCGUGCCAGCAGCCGCGGUAAUACGGAGGAUCCGAGCGUUAUCCGGAUUUAUUGGGUUUAAAGGGAGCGUAGGGGGAUUGUUAAGUCAGUUGUGAAAGUUUGCGGCUCAACCGUAAAAGUGCAGUUGAAACUGGCAGUCUUGAGUACAGUAGAGGUAGGCGGAAUUCGUGGUGUAGCGGUGAAAUGCUUAGAUAUCACGAAGAACUCCGAUUGCGAAGGCAGUUCACUGGACUGCAACUGACACUGAGGCUCGAAAGUGUGGGUAUCAAACAGGAUUAGAUACCCUUGUAGUC